rnacentral:lncRNA from 1 species
AACGAUGUCUUUUUUAAAGCAGUGAACUUGCCACACCGGCGCUAGCUCUCACACACUAGCACAUUUGCUUGCACAAACCACACAAACUUUAAGCUUAAGAAGCUUCCCAGGUGGUGGUUGGAGAAAUUUGGGAAGGAGANAAAGAAGUAUUCGAAACAAAGUAGCGGUNGAAACACACGAUUAAUAGAAACUAGUUUUAUUUUCUUAUUUUUUCUUUUUCUGUCUUUUUUUUCCCCGUUGCUUUCUUUAAACAGCAGCUAGCUUGAUUUUGAUAGCUGGUUUUGGCAAAAGGAAGGAAAAAAAAAAUCUACAGCCNGAAAGGAAGACUCAAAGUGUUUAAAGGACGCUUAGAAUGUAGCGUUGUGGCAGGUUGGGCUUCAUGAGGAUUGAAGGCUUUAAAAGAAGUUAUGUUGGACUAUAUACAGAUAUACAUGCAUACGAAGACAUCACCAUUGAUGACUACCUUUGAAGUUGAAAGUUUGUUUUGUUGAAGAUUCCAUGCACAUCAGAGACAGGACACAAGCUGGAUCUGACCUGAGAGCAUUCUGGUGGAACUUUUUGGAUCACUUAGUUCUCCAGGAGGACCAACUUUCAUGGCACCAGAUGGCAUCAUGCAAGCUUCUAAGGGAGAAAAACAACCCAAGCCCAUACCCAGCUAUGUCGCUUAUGAACCACCAUGGUCAUAAUG